UUAAAUUGAAGAGUUUGAUCAUGGCUCAGAUUGAACGCUGGCGGCAGGCCUAACACAUGCAAGUCGAACGGUAACAGGAAGCAGCUUGCUGCUUCGCUGACGAGUGGCGGACGGGUGAGUAAUGUCUGGGAAACUGCCUGAUGGAGGGGGAUAACUACUGGAAACGGUAGCUAAUACCGCAUAACGUCGCAAGACCAAAGAGGGGGACCUUCGGGCCUCUUGCCAUCGGAUGUGCCCAGAUGGGAUUAGCUUGUUGGUGGGGUAACGGCUCACCAAGGCGACGAUCCCUAGCUGGUCUGAGAGGAUGACC
rnacentral:rRNA from 1 species